rnacentral:rRNA from 1 species
AGUGGCGGACGGGUGAGUAACGCGUGGGGAACCUGCCCUGUACCGGGGGAUAACAGCCGGAAACGGCUGCUAAUACCGCAUAAGCGCACAGUGCCGCAUGGCACGGUGUGAAAAACCACGGUGGUACAGGAUGGCCCCGCGUCUGAUUAGUUGGUUGGCAGGGUAACGGCCUACCAAGACGGCGAUCAGUAGCCGGCCUGAGAGGGUGAACGGCCACACUGGGACUGAGACACGGCCCAGACUCCUACGGGAGGCAGCAG